AAGCAUAUGUAAGUUAAAAAAAAAAAAAAAAAAAAAAAAGGCGAUCCACAACUAUUUUCUCUAUUUUUCUUCAGCCAUUCUAUUUAUGAGGUAGAAAAGUACUUUAAGAGUGUUCAAAUUCCUUAAUUUAUUUAUAUUCUUUGCAGCAAUGGACUUCCUCAGCAAUAACGAUUUAAAAAUGCUGCUGUUUCCAAUUUUGGGGCCAGAAGUACCUCUUCUCCAUAGAGAAAAAAUGCAAGAGGAUUGCUACAGUAUCCAACCUCAGGCAUUUCACAGGGUUUUGGGGUUGUUUCAACUCCCUCUGUAUCACUUAGGCUGGGCUACAUCUUCUUCUUUAUUACUGCAAUUCUCUUCACCAUCUUGAGUUGUACUGUUGCUUUUCAAUCCUUCCCGAGAAAUAUCUGCGUCUUCGCACUUUUCAUUAUCUUCAGGACGCUGCUGCUCAGGACUGACUUCUGUGCCUGCAUCCCUGGUAGCCUCACGGCUUUCAUUAUGCACAAAGGAACUUUGUAUGCUUGCUUCCUCAUCUAUUUCAUUGUUAUCAGAAGUGCUAAGAUUAGUCUGAUGUUUGAUUUCAUCCCUAUUUGAAACAGAUUUCUUUGGAAGGUAAUUCAAACGCUUCUUUUUAUUGACACUGACAGGAAGAGACUCGUUCAGUUCAGUUUGAUAAUAUGCACUCUAAUUCAAGUUGAGGACAGAAUGAAGCAUGCAAGAAAAGCAGAAGACAGUAAAACAAAAGAAGAAAUAAAGAAACAGACUGUACUGUUGAAUCUAUGUCCUGAAGAAUUAAGAAAAUGUAGUAACUCAAUAUUCACGAUACAGUUAACUUUGUACAAAUCAAAGCAGAACAAACCACAUCUAAUGUAACAAAUGCAGCUAAAAAUCUCCUCAAACUGCGCGCCGCAUUUUUCAAUCAACAUGGUGAAUAAAGUAGUCACUCAGUUGCAGACUCACAUUUUUGACAAUAUAUAUCCCUUAUUUCUCCACUAUAGGAAAUGGAGUAUUUCAGCUUCUACCAUUUUAGCAGAACUCAGAAACUAGUUCUUUU